UGGAAGGCCACUGACUUGCCAGCCUCCAACAGGUCCCACAAGACUUUUUCUGUCCUCUGAUCCUCACAGCAGCAGCUUAGCUGAGGAAAGGUCUCAGAGUGGGCCAGCCAUUCCAUGCACAAACUGCAUCCCUUCCUUGGAGAAGGUCUCUUCAGGUGUGCAGAUCUGCAGCAAGACACCUUUGCGAGAUGUUACCUGUUCAAGAAUUUCACUGGAGCAUGGGAUGCAGAGAAACUGGCAAAAUGUUCUGUCCUCCAUCAUUCAGGGGACCCAUUCUUCUUUUGGCUUCUGCUGCUGGGAGAGCUCUGGCCCAGCAUGUCAGGGGAGGGAGCAGGAUGGACAUAGGCUGCUCAGCAGUGGUGUCACAACUGACCCUUCAGAGAUUUCCCUGAGCUGCAUGACCCUUCCUUGUCCCAUGGGCUUUCUGGAGAUAUGCACGGCUCUGGCUUGCAGUAGAGGCAGGGACUCAUCCAACAACCGUGCUAGACAGCUGGAAGUAUUUCUCUAUGCCUCAGGGCCUCCAGGCAGUUAGGAGCCUUGGGUGGGAAAGGUGGGGUGUUGUAAUCUUCACAUGGAUUUUGAAACACUGACAGGAGAGAACAUCAUCCCAUCAGCCUGACAGGAUAGAGCCUUUUCCAGUAUCUUUCUGGAUAGGAGAUGGCACUUUUCUACAUUUCUAGAAGGACCUGAAUACUGUGAUAGUCAAAUAAUGGAAGUUCUGUUUUUUGCCAUUUCCCAUCACAAACAGAUGUGGCCUCCUUAGGGCACUAUCUAGGGUGGGAUCCAGCACAGGGAGACCACAAACAGGCAGGAUCAGUCGUUUUUGUGAUAGUUUUUGCACAGAAAGAAGUCCUUGGCUGACAGAGCACUUGGGCUUCCGGCUUGUGGUAGAUGUGCUCUGAGGGGGCUGCAUGCUCUCACACGUCCUUUCAGCCCAAGAGAGAGCAGCCUUUCAAGACAGUAUCUAAGAAGAGAUCCAGAAACAUGUUUUCAGCAGUGGGUCCUAACUGUGUUUGAUUGCUCUUGGGAUUUAAAAAAAUUUUUUGUUCAAAUGGAGCUAGAGGCGGAAGACUUGUUUUGCACAUCCUGUUGGAUCUUUCUUUGAUAUUAAAUAGCAAAAGGGAUGAGAACGUUCUCAGCCCUGCAGAAUUAGCCUUGACCUUGUCCUUGAUUGUUUUCCAGACCUCUCAGAUGUCAUGUCUUUGUUUUGUAUGGAAAUCAUGAAGCCAUGCAUAAAAAGGUAAUUCUUCAGCAGCCAAAACUUCCUGCUGGAGGGCAAAGGGAGACACAGUUGAGAAGAGUUUGAAAGGAUGGAAAUAACCCUUGCUCUACCUGCACUUGGCAAAUGGAGAGAUCCAACUGGUCCUUUCUGGAGUGGGUUUUAUGUGGGCAGGACUGUUGGGGAUAUCUGGAGAAAGGCACCCUACUUGAUGGCCAGCUCCUUGAAGCUGCCUGGCUGCUCUCGGUGCUGUGCCAGCAGAAAAAGCUGCUUGUCUCUUUGCUCUGGGGGAACAGGCAGUGAUGCCCUACUGGCUGGGCUCCUGCUUUGCCCUCACACUUGCACUCAGAGCUGGCCCUGGGUUUGUCCUGCUCCCUGUCAGGGCACCACUAUCCAUAUCCCAUCUCUACCUGUGUGUCCCAGCAGCCUCUUUGUAGCUAAUUGCAGCGCUGAGGAUGCAGGAGGUGGAUGCUGUGAGCUUUUCUAUCUGCUUUACAACAUUGCCUUUAAACAGAUUGUCUCUUUGCUCUCUGCCUAUAAGAACGCAGCUCAGGUUUGCUUCCAGAUCUUGCAGGCAGGACAAGACACAAAGCAGAAGCCUGCUGGUGGGGCAGGUACAGGCAGUCUGGGGUGCCUCCUCUGGUGGCCCCCUUGGCAGGAGGGGAGGCUGCUCCGACAGCUGGGGAGCUGCCCUCUGUCACUGCUGUCACACAGCUGUGCACAGAUGUUCAGAAGUGCCUCUUAAGGAGUUGGUGGCUUCAGGAAUGUAGGCUGAAAUUCAAUUUGCAGUGCACACACUGAGGCUGUUUGCAGCCAGCUAGGAUCUGGGGCAGGAGGACUGUGGUACCAACUGCCAUGCAAAGCCAGCUGGCAUAAAGAAUUAGGGUUGCAUAGCUCAGCUUGAGCCAGGCAGAAAAAUAACCUCAAAGCACCAACUCCUGUAAAAAAAAACGCUAUCAGGAUUCCUGAUGAUGAUCUCUGAGCUGAAAAAUACAGGCACUGACUUGUGGAAGGGACAAAUACCCCUGAGUCUUUCUUAUUAUUAGCUACCAGCAAAUACCUGCUUUGAGAGAUGUGACUGCUGGAAAUACUGCCAAAGUUGCCUCUUUAUAUGGUUUGAAGUCCCUAAUGCUUGUUCCAACAGGGUUGGUGUGUCCAGGUUGUUUUGAUGUUGUCAGUCAAGACUUUCUCUUUGUGUUAUGCUCUUUUCUCUCUUGGUAGAAGCCAAACUCUUAUACUUGCUGAAAUGCAGUGUACCACAAAGCAGCUCUCAGCAGACUUCAGGGGACAAUGUUUUCACUCUCAGGGGAACUGGUGCUGCUUUGUACCUACUUACAAAAACCUCCUGGGGGUAGAAACUCGGGGCUCCUCUGUGUGAAGGUUAAAUUUGCUGGCUUGCCAAGCAGUCUGCUUUAUUUCUCUUCAUCUGAAUGUGUUUUAAUAUUCUGUGGCUCCAUGAAAGUGUUUUUCCAGUACUGGGAACAUGCAGGGCUUUUCCUUAUGACUAUGAGGGCUCACAGGAUCCCUCCCACAGAUGAACAAGCAGAACCAGAAGAGAUUCUUUUACAAGUGACUGUAACCAGCAUUAAAGUUGUCUAAACCCCACCAACAAGGAGAUCCCAGUCACUGGAGCUGUGCUGUCCCCUAAGAGAGGUAUCUUUUUGGCUUCCCAGAAGCCCUGACAGCCUCCCUCAUGGAAGGGGAUUUUUAUUUAGGUGCCACACACCAGCUCUGGGGCACAAAAGAAUGUGGGUGUGAGAUUUCUUGGCUGUCCACAGGGUCUAAAAAACCAGGCUGAUGGAUGUGGGACUAUGAGUGCCAGGCUCUUGCGGAGACUGGCAGCCCCAGGGACAGAUAUAUCGCCCCUCCAAAUUCCUGCCAAUUUACCCUAUCAGUGGUUUUGCUUUGCUGAUGCUUCACUGUUCCAUAAAGGUUCAUGUGUGCUGCAACAAAGAAGUGCCAGGUUCCCACAGGUCAAUUUCAAAACAAGAAACAUGAAUCACAUCUGUUGGCUCAUUCCAUCCAAAUUCAGCUGUUGAGGCUUUGCCUGAAAUAUCAUAGUUUUGUGGGUGGCUUGUUUUAUUUUUUUAAUCCACUACCAGAGUAGAGCAAAAACAGGAGUUUGGAAAAAAAAAAAAAAAAAAAAGCUGUGGGAAAUGGCAGACUGCUGUUAUCACUGAGAUUAGCUCAUCUUCUCCUGAUACAGCUGCCUUAAGUACAAAGGCCCCCAACUCUAGACACCACAAAAACAUAGUUCAUAUAGUUCAUAGCCAGACAAAUUUUGCAAGAAAGUCUUCUAGAUUUGUUAACAAGAGGCUAAGAUUGCUUUAGUUCUUUCCUCCCAUUCUCCCUUUUGUGGCUUUUAAGGGACUUAGAAGAAUAUACACUUAAUUAGUGGUUUUGUCUUUGCUAGGGAAAGAUUAGAAAAAUUUUUGCUAAGUUAUCUUGGUUGGAAAUGAACAGAGUUCCCUGAUUCUCCUGGAAAUCUGGUUUGAGUUUCUUCACCAAUUGGAAGCAGGGGUCUUGCAGCAGUGGCCUGCUACCUGCUGGCUUCCACUGCAAAGGAAAACGUUGCAUUUGUAGGUGGAUCUUUCCAGCAUUGUUGUGCUACAUCCUGAGAGUCUGUGGCAGAGCACUGUGGGGUGGAUCCCAUCAGGGCCCACAGACUUGUGAGUGUCCACCUGGCACAGCAGGUCACUAAUCAUUUCCUCAUGGAUUAUGGAGGCUUUGCUUAUCUCCCCAUCACCAACUUCAGCUCUGAGAGCUGGGUCUCCUGAGGACAACUGGUCUUGAUAUUUAAGACAAAGAAGGCAUUAAGUACCUCUGCCUUUUUCUUAUCCUCUGUCACUACACUCCCCUCUGCAUUCAACCAAUGAUGAGGACACUCCUUGACCCUCCUUUUGCUGGCAAUGUAUUUAUUGAAACUUAUUUUGUUGUCUUUAACUGUAGCAGUCAAAUAAAAUUCUAGUUGGGCUUUACCUUUCUAAUUUUCUCCCUACAUGACCUCACAACAUCUUUAUAGUCCUCCCACGUUACCUGACCCUUCAUCCAGAGAUGAUAGAUUCUCCUUUUUUUUUUUCCUGAAUUCCAGCCUAAGUUCUCUGUUUAAUGAGGCUGGUCUUUUUCCCUGGUCUUUCUACACUUGGGGACAGUUGGCUCUUGAAUAUUUAACAAUUCCUUUUUUAAUACAUAUCCAGCCUUCCUGGUCUCUGUUGUGUUUCGUGACUGACUCCUCAACACUGCUGUUCAUUGCUCUCAGUGUUCAAAAAUACUGGUGAUUUAAAAUUCAUGUGUAACUUUGGGGGCUUCCACUGUUGUAGCACAGGUCAUAAAUUCCUCCUUAAAAGGCAUUCCACUAUUUGAAAAGGUUUUGGUUCAUUGGAGCUUGGAUUUUUAUGGUUACUGUGCUAAAAGCUACUAUGGAAGUUGUUUAAUAUAUUACUUGUCAGUGUCCUAGAGAGUGACAGUAUGCCAGGGACUAUGCAAAACCUUCACUGCUCAGGAGGAUACUGUAUUUCACCUGUGUCUUCAUUCUCAGUCAUCACAGCAUACCCAAAUUCACUAGGAAGGACUGACUACUGAUCAGCAAAUUCCACCGUGUUUGUUUUUUCUGUUGCUGGAAAGGCAUGCCGUGCUUUAAAAAAAUGUGUUUAAUCCUUUGUUGGGCUGAGGUUGACUGAGGUUAGAACUAAAUAGGAGAUUACCACAUAACAAGUCUAAUCAGGUUGGAUUUUUGAAAGCCCUGCUUGCUUUUCCAUGCAUAAAUUCUGCCAUGCUUUUUUUCUGUCUCUGUUUUCACAUUCUUUCCAGGCUUUAGCUCAUGGAAGUAGAUGAUCUUUAAGGUCCCUUUCAACCAGCACCAUUCUAUGAUUCUAUGGUACGAAGGUCAUGCACAAGGUCUCUGAAGGCAGCAUUCCCAAACCACGGUAAAACAGCAGGGCUGGGAUUUCCAGUGGCAGCGGUGUACACCGUGAUGGGCUCAGUGCUGUGGAAAGCAGGAAUUGCUCCAUGGCACAGUGAUGGUGGCCCAGGGCCCUUCCUCACUGAGCUGCCUCAGGCUCAAGUGUGCAGGGCUUGGGGCAAAGCUGUAUUUGUGUUCGCAGCAUUUCCAGGGACUGCUGAAGGCUGAGGGAGAGCAUCCAAAUAGACACAGCACCAACACGUGCUUCCUUCUGUGGCUCCUUAGUCUCUUCAAAGACAGGCUACAGGAGGACAAGAAGUGCCCUCAGAAGGGGUAACAGAGGAGGCUUGUACAUUUGGCAGAAAGCUGCAGGCGACUUUGGGAUGGGGAACGCUGGGAGCUGCCUGCACUUCCUGUCUGCUGCCUCCUCUCACAGGGCACUGACCUGGGAGGGACCAGCUGGGGCCAUACCAGCUAGCAUGACUGGAUGUUGCUUAUGGAAGGUUUCCCUUUUUCCAUAUAAAGUAAUUUUGAAGGGAAAGGACUCUACCAGCACUUUGGUGGAGUUUAUUUUCAUAUUUGCAAUAGCUUGUGAGAAUGAACAAUGUUCAGCUUUUGCUUGGCUUGUCCUCUCGGGGAGUGUUCCCAGCCUGUGUGUGGCCUGGGGCUGUGGCAGGGCAGUGCAGUGAGCAGGAGGGCUGCCUGGCACCCACGUGUGCUUCAGCCUGUGAUACAUGUGUCCUGGUCUGGGCAUCCAUGCACCCCAAGCACCAGGACGUAGCCCACGGUGAUUGAUGUCCAGCUGAAUUUUGCCUUUAGUCACAUACCUGGAGGCCCCUUGAUUUUAGCAAAAAGUUACUGCUCUGCUUGCUGUGUGGUUUUUAUUUGAUUGUGUGUGCGAACAGCCAAGGAAGAUUGGUGAGGAGCUGCUAACCCUCAGCUGUGAGUGACCAUCCAGGAAUCAGUGAGGAACAGGGGUGGGCUGGGAGAUGCCAGGUCUCUGCCAGCUGAGCCUGGGCACAGAAGGGUGCCUGGUGUAGGAGGGCUGUCAGGAACAGAGGCCAAAUAAUAUCCUCAUCGAGGACACCACAGGCUCUGCUGUGCACAUUGCUGUGGCAGAAAAGCAUCUACAUAUAACAAUGGGAGCUCCUUUCCAGCUGCUAUUUUUGACAUAACAGAGGCUGUCAGUUCCCUGCAAGCUGCAGAAAAAGUGUUUUCAGCCUCUGUCCUAGGGUGAAUGAGCUCUAGGGCUCUGUAAGAAGCGCCUUCCUGGGCCAGGGAGAGCUAUUUGUUUUACAAACAAUGGGCAGAGCACAGAGGAAAUGCUCGAAGUGCCUGUGGAGAGCAGCUGCUCUCCAUCAGCAGCCUGGGCUGUCAUCUUGGUUAAGGAGCUCACGUGCAGUCAGGGAGCAUCUGUACAUCCACAGUGUCCCCGGCAGGACAGCGGGGACCACUCAGCCACCUUGAUGGCGGUGACCAUUUUUAUGGGCAGGUGCAGCCCUCAGGUCCUCAGGCUGAAGGAAGCUGAGGGAGAAGCCAUCCCUCUGUGGGCAGUGCUGCCAGCAGAGCAGCAAGACCUCCGAGGUGCAGGCUAUAGGAUGAUGGCAGGGGGACUCCUUUGCUGGCAAGAAUCAAGACAUCUGCUCUGUACAUGUGCGCUUGUUUCCAGUCCCAGCUUUGCUCCCUUCACAAGAACUCCUGAAGCUAGAGGGGCACUUGGAGGAGGGAAUGUCCUUAUGUCUUCUGAAGUGCAUGCAAGGCUAUGCCAUCCUCUGUCUCUCCUGCUGUGUCAAGUUGCCAUAUCUGUCAAUCUCUGUCCACUUUGAGGGCUGAGCAGGAGUGGGACCAGCACAGGCAGCAAGAAGGGUGACUGCCAUGUACCUGGGUGUCAGCUCACUGUGGUGAGGGUUUUGCUACUGCUGUGGCCAGUUGUGUUUUGAUGUUAAAUCUGAUGACUUCUUGGCCUUUCUCAUUUAUUUUUAGUGGCGGAAGAAGCCCAGCUCUAGAGUUUUGGCUGUAUGGAUUUAGAGUGAAAUGUUCAGAGAGAGCACAGUGACUUUUCCCAUGACACUUGCUGCAUCUCUCAGGAUGUGUAUUCCCUCCUGGCCUCAGAGCUGUGUCAGACACAGGCAGAGGCAUGUGGAUACUUUCAGCUCAUUUUACAGCCAAAUGUAGAACGUCAUGUUCUGCCUGGUUGGAUCAGGAUGUACAUCCCAAGCUCAGGAUAAGUUUGUAACAGCCAAGCUCUCACUGUGCUGUGACUGCUGUGACAAGCCAGCCUGGGCUUUGCUGUGAAGCUGUUCAGGCAGUUCCCCUUUCCAAGAAGGUAAACAAUUUCUCCUCACCUAGGAGGUGGGUAAAAUUGCUUGUCUCUUUUUCCCUGACAGCAAUUGCUGCUGAAAAAUCAUGAUGUGACAUAUUCAUCCUGGCAGGGUGAAUAAACACCUCUGGGCAAGUGGGUGCCUGAACCGUUGGCACAGGGGGAAACUUGGCAGUAAUCAAGACUGAGACACCUCAGGCAGUGGAUUUAGUGGUGUGCUGAAUGCUGCCAGUUCCCAGCCAGGAGAGAAUUGAGCCAGAUCCUGGAAGAGCACAGCAAUGCCUUAACAUCCACCUGGCUCUUAAUGUAAGUAAGAGUCAUGAUCUCUCAUUUUCUGUGGUGAGAGGUGGCGAUCUAUCAUUGGCACUUGUGUUUUUCCUGCCUCAUGGAAGAACCCCAGUGAUAGGAUGGUGUCCUACAGGGACAGACAUAGCCCUGGCAGCUGGGGACAAGUCCCAAGCUCUGCUUUAGGAAAGCAAAUUUGCAUGUGGAGGGCUGGACGACAGAAUAACAGCAGCAGCAGCAGGCUUUGCUGGGUGCAUAACUGCUGGAGGUCCCACAUAGAGCGCAGAUCCAGCCGAGCUGCGUGGGGACAUUGUGUCCCAUCACAGCUUCCAAGCACCUUAUUGUCCCUAUUGUUUAAGGGACACCAGAAAAAAGAACAGCUAGGCUGUGCAGGAAAUGCUGCACUGGGUAAGGGGAGCAGAGUGCAUGACCUGAGAUGGCCCCGUCCUGCAGAUAGCAAUGGGCUGGCCACUGUAGGGUACUCAGGGGAGGAAACCUUCAGCAGGGUGUUGAAAUGCUGCUUAAAUCCCCUGCUCAGCCGAGAGACUCAUCUCUGUGCUGAUGAGGAGCACCUGGAUUGUGGUGUCUGCCAGGAAACCAGCCUGUGCUGACUAUUAGGUGUGGUUUCAAGCAUCGCCCACGGCUACACAUAAAACUUUUCUGCUUCUCCACAGCUGCCUCCUGUUAAAAAUCAGAACUGGAAUACUUCUCUAACAGAGAAUGCUGAGUGCAGCCACCCCUAAUCUCCAAGCAGCUUCCCACCAACAAGCUGUGUACAGUCAUUCCUGGAGAGAGAGGUCUUGAAAGAGAAGAGCAAACACUUCUCUGGAUUUGCACCAGCUUCUCAGGAGCAGGGAACCGCCUCAGCAUCUCUUGGGCUAAAAUAGAAGCAUGGCUGAUAUUCUUUGGCUGGUGACACUAGUGUGGAUCUGCCCCCAGAUCAUGAGGAGGAAGAAGACAGCAGUUUUCUGCUGGAAGAUGUUGGUGCAAUGCCAUGCACUUGAAACCUGCACCCCACUGUCUGCAACAGGGCUGCAGAGUAGAGUGUAUAUGCAGGGCUGAAAUCAGUGCAAAUUCAUGACCCCAUAAGGAGCAUCAGGACCCAUAUCUGCCCAUCUUUUAUGGGACUGGGAAUGAGCUGUGUGUGCUCUGUGAGCCAGUAUACCAGGAGCUUCUGACAGGCUGGUUCUGGAGUACCUGUCUGCAUAGGAAAUGCCUUCUCCUGAUGGAAUGUAAUGGGAGGUUUAGUUUCCUGUUACUACCUUCAUCUUCAGAACAGAAGGGGGAAAGCUGUUUGUGGUGUUCUUAGAGCUAUCAAUAACUGGAAAUAAACACUCAUGCUCCUGUGGUCUGCACUUCCUAUUGCAGGGAAUUAAUAGCUGUGUUUAGCAAAACAGCCUUGCUAAAGAGGGAUUGAACAGAAAAGGCUUUCUUCCCUUCCUAGGAUAUGGGUUAUGUCUCCAGCAUUUCCUAGCCUCAGGGAUAAACAUCUCCAGCCAGAUCUGCAAAACAACCCUGAUCCGAUCUGCUUUAGAAGCAACUGGCUAUUUAACCAGGAAUCUGGAUUUCUCUGGAGAAAAACAGAGCUCUGCAUUCACCUUCUCCCUUCCCAGAUCUUGCCCAUGGGGAGAGCUCUGCCACCACAUAGCCAGGCUUCUUUGGCUGAGCACAGCACACAGGUAAAACAGGAACAGCACAACAUGCAAUUCUGCUAGCCCACAUUGAUAUCAUGCCAGGAGAAAUGAUGCUGCAAAGUUGGGCAAGCUCUUCAUGGCACGAUAAGUGGGAUGCACCCUGCCUCCUAGGGGUUCAUUUCCUCCAUGCCAGCUGACUUGGUGAUUGCAUGGUAAGCAGAGCUCAGCCCCUGAGAUAACAGAAUACAAACAGUAUUUCACUUCUAACCUCAACCCUGUGAGGAGGAGGACUCAUCACCUGAACUGCUCAACACUUUUCAUCUGGGGCAAGCGCCCAGUGGUCUGGAUAGCUCAAGGCUGGCUAUAUGUGUCACUUUGGAGAGAGAAGUGUUGUGAAGUGGGAUCUGUCCAGUGAACUUUGCUCCUAGCUUCACCGCAAAACUGUGACUGGCUCCCACUUUAAAGGCAGGUUUGCAGACACCUGGGACUUAAAAGCUUUUCUCCCUUUUGCAGGACCCUCAAUUGUGACUCCUCCUAAGGACAUCUGGAAUGUGACAGGAGCACAAAUCUACCUGAGCUGUGAAGUCAUUGGCAUCCCAACCCCUGUCCUCAUCUGGAACAAGAUAAUUCGAGGACAGUAUGGUGUCCAGAGGAUGGAGCUCCUGCCUGGGGACCGGGAGAACUUGGCUAUCCAGACCCGUGGGGGCCCUGAGAAACACGAAGUGACUGGCUGGGUGCUGAUAUCUCCUCUGAGCAAAGAGGAUGCUGGGGAAUAUGA
rnacentral:lncRNA from 1 species